UAGUCAUAUGCUUGUCUCAAAGAUUAAGCCAUGCAUGUAUAAGUUCACACCGUACUACGGUGAAACCGCGAAUGGCUCAUUAAAUCAGCUUUGGUUUCUUAGACCUUACAAAUUUACUUGGAUAACUAUAGUAAUUCUAGAGCUAAUACAUGCCACUGUGCCGUUGUUGCUUGCAACUUCGGCGGUUUGAUUAGAUCAAAGCCAACCGGUUCUAAAGGACCGUUAGCAAGAUGACUCUAGAUGACUAACCUAAUCGCAUGAGCUUGCCUCGGCGAUGUAUCUUUCAAAUAUCUGACCUAUCAACUUUCGAUGGUGAGUGAUAUGCUCACCAUGGUUAUAACGGGUAACGGGGAAUCAGUGUUCGAUUCCGGAGAGGGAGCCUUAAAAACGGCUACCACAUCUAAGGAAGGCAGCAGGCGCGCAAAUUACCCACUCUCAGUUCGAGGAGGUAGUGACGAUAAAUAACAAUGCAUGACUCACAAAGAGGCUAUGCAAUUGGAAUGAGUACAAUUUAAAUCCUUUAACGAGGAUCAAUUGGAGGGCAAGUCUGGUGCCAGCAGCCGCGGUAAUUCCAGCUCCAAUAGCGUAUAUUAAAAUUGCUGCAGUUGAAAAGCUCGUAGUUGGAUAUCAGGUUCAGACCGGUGGUUGCAGCUUUUGGUUGUUAUCAUCCGUGUCUGUCCUUAACCAGCCGUUAGUGACUUUGCGUGCUCUUAAUUGAGUGCAACUAGUACACGGCAAGUUUACUUUGAACAAAUUAAAGUGCUCAAAGCAGGCCUACCUAAGCCUGAAUAGUUUUGCAUGGAAUAAUGAAAGAGGACUCCGGUUCUAUUUGUUGGUUUUCGGUAUCGAAGUAAUGAUUAAAAGAGACUGACGGGGGCUUAUGUAUGGCGGUGUGAGAGGUGAAAUUCUAGGAUCGCCGCCAGACAGCCUACUGCGAAAGCAUUUGCCAAGGAUGCCUUCAUUAAUCAAGAACGAAAGUGAAAGGUUCGAAGACGAUCAGAUACCGUCCUAGUUUUCACCCUAAACGUUGCCGACUCACAAUCAGGUAUGGUUAUAUUUUAUUGGCCUACCUGGCUGUCCCUGGGAAACCUGAAGUAUAGGUUCUGGGGGGAAUAUGGUCGCAAGGCAGAAACUUAAAGGAAUUGACGGAAGGGCACCACCAGGAGUGGAGCCUGCGGCUUAAUUUGACUCAACACGGGGAAACUCACCCGGCCCGGACACUGUAAGGAUAGACAGAAUGAUAGCUCUUUUUUGAUUCAGUGGAUGGUGGUGCAUGGCCGUUCUUAGUUGGUGGAGUGAUUUGUCUGGUUAAUUCCGAUAACGAACGAGACUCUAAUCUGCUAAAUAGUAUGCUGACAUAGGCGCUUCGGUGUCACAGUCAGUACUGACUUCUUAGAGAGAUAAGCGGAUGCAAGCCGCAAGAAAGAGAGCAAUAACAGGUCUGUGAUGCCCUUAGAUGUCCGGGGCCGCACGCGCGCUACAAUGACAACAUCAGCAAGUAUUAAAACCUGGUCCGAAAGGAUUGGGAAAUCUUUGCAUUGUUGUCUCAUCAGGGAUUGAGAUUUGUAAUUAUUUCUCAUGAACGAGGAAUUCCUAGUAGGCGCAAGUCAUCAGCUUGCGUCGAUUACGUCCCUGCCCUUUGUACACACCGCCCGUCGCUACUACCGAUUGAAUGGUUUAGUGAGGUCAUCGGAUUGAUUACUUGUGAUGGCAACAUUGCUAUGUUUUUGAAAAGACGAUCGAACUUGAUCAUUUAGAGGAAGUAAAAGUCGUAACAAGGUUUCCGU
rnacentral:rRNA from 1 species